ensembl:lncRNA
CUCUCUCCUCUCUCUCCUCUCCCUCCCUCUCUCCCCUCUCUUCUCUCUCCUCUCUCCCCUUUCUCUUCUCUUUCUCUUCUCUCUCUCUUCUCUCUCUCUCAGAACACACACACACACAGUAUUAAAACAAAACUCCCUGUCUUUCACCCUCCAUCCAGAUAUCUCUGCCUCCUAACGGUCAGCUCCAGGGCUAUGGUUUGCUGCCGGGCCAGGCCUACCCAGGAAUGGUGGUUCCUCCAGGCCAGCCCCUCCCUGGUACAGGACCUCCAGGCUUCCCUGGGGGAUUCCCUCCAAACAAGGACGCCUUUGGCCAACACGUGGGCCAGCAGGAACAGGAUAUGAAUAUGGACCUGGACCCUCCCUCCAUGAAGGAUGGAAGACACCGACCAGAUGGCAGGAAGUCACCAUCGGGAUCUAGGUCUCCUAAGAGGAGGCGGUCGCGGUCCAUCUCUAGAACACACCGGUCCAGAGACCGCCGCAGACACUCCCCACGGUCACGCUCCCAGGAACGCAGGGAGAGAGAGAAGGAGAAGGAGAAGGAGAGGGAGAGACGACAGAAAGGACUGCCACAGCCCAAGGCUGACACGCUGAGCGGUGAGACAACUCUCUCUCUUCACCUAGUCAGUCUGUCAUGGAAAGAGCAGGUGUUCUUAAUGUUUUGUACACUGUCUAUAUAUAUAUAUAUUUUACUUUUUUACUAUUGGUUCCCGUUCCCUUUCCAAUGUUAAUCAUUGUCACUUAAUCUGUCAUUAUUUCACACUCUCUCCCCCUGUCUUUCUCUCUCAACCUGUGUCUCUCUCUCUGUCUCUCUCCUCUCUCCACGUCCUCUCUCCUCUUCCUUCUCUCUCUCUCUCUCUGUCUCUCUCUGUCUCUCUCUCGUCGGUCUUCUCUGUCUGUCUGUCUGUCUGUCGUCUGUCGGUCUGUCUGUUCUGUCUGUCGUCUGUCUCUCUCUGUCUGUCUCUCUCUGUCUCUCUCUGUCUGUCUGUGUCUGUCUCCUGUCUGUCUGUCUGUCUCUGUCUGUCUCCCUCUGUCUCUCUGUUCUGUCUCGUCUCUCUCUCCUGUCUUUGUCUGUCCUCUCUCUCUCUGUCUCUGUCUGUCUCGCUCUCUCUCUGUCUCUGCUGUCUCUGUCUGUCUGUCCUGUCUCUCUUCUUGUCUCUCUCUCCUCUCCUCUCUCCCCCUCCCAUUCCCCCCCCACUCUCCUCCCCCAUGUCUCCCCCCCACUCUCUCCCCCAUGUCUCCCCCCCACUCUCUCCCCAUGUCCCCAUGUCUCCCCCUCUCCUCCAGUGUGUAGACACUCUGUGGGUGGGUCAGCUGGACAAGAGAACCCAGCAGCAGGAUGUAGCCUGUCUACUGGAGGAGUUUGGACAGAUAGACUAUCACGUAAGUUUACUGUGUGGUGUGUGUUGAAACCACACACUGACUCUUUAGGUUGCUCUUAAAUAAGUCAAAUUUGAAUCUGAUUUCUCGUGCCAAUAUCUUCCAAUUCACUUGGUAAUCUCCUUCCUCUCUCCUUCCUCUCUCCCCUCUCCUCUCUCCCCUCCUCUCCUCUCCCCUCUCCUCCUCCCUCUCCCUCCUCCCUCAGAUGAUUCUCCUCGAGGUUGUGCGUACAUCGUCAUGGUCCACAGACAGGAUGCAUUCAGAGCUCUGCAGAAACUCAGCAGAGGAUCCUACAAAGUCAACCAGAAAGCCAUCAAGGUAUGUGGGCUCUGUUAGAACAAAGGGCAGUUUCCAGAUGAUAAGCCUUGUCCUAGACAAUCUUAAAAAACACGUUCACUAAGUUGGUGUCCGGGAGACCGACCAUCAAUGUAUGAAAAUAAAUAUGAAUAUUGAUUUAAUUGAAUGUGUA